GAAAGCCAGAUGGAGAGCGCGGGAGAAGGGAAGGGAGUCCUUCCAAAUACGCGAUCGAGGUAUUGAAUUCUUUCUUUCCUUGAUCACCUGGUAACGAAAGAUGUAUUGGACCUAUGAAGCAGCAGAGCAUAGAUGGUUGAAUCCGGGGGUAUGUACUGUCUAAAAGGAAUGAGUCGCCAUGCCUUUUCCUGUGUCUGGUUUGCUGCCAAUAAUUGGCUUGAUCUACUUGACCUGCAUGAUUGGCUAGCUUUUAGAUAUUUGGAGGCAAUCGAGAGAGUUGUGGAGAAAGAGAUGCAUAAUGUAAAUCAGAGGAGCACUCUUGAUUUUGAGGUUUGUGAUGUAAGGCUGUUGGCGUGUUGAAAAAAUUUUGGCUCAUUUCUUGAUUUUC